AGGUAGAAACACCUGCCUCUGCUUCUGCUGCAGCAGCCAAAAGCAGGCGACACAUGCAGAAAGAAAGGACUGAGCCAUCUGAGGGCAUGUCAGGACGCCAACGCCGGUCGAGGGAGGAUAUGGCCGGCGGGCGGGACAGAAUGCUAACAUUCGCUUGUUGGCUGGGAGAAAUCGCUACUGCCUGAUAGGAAGGAAUGCAUACGCCGCUGUGUCCCUGCACACACCCAAAUAUGGUUCCAGCCCUGUAACUACUGACUGUUGAGCCGUUUGCAGUUCUCAACAACUUGAGCAAGAGAGAUUGUUUCCUUUUUAUCUUUAAUUUGAAGGUAUUACUCCUCAGUGUAGAAGUGGACACAAACGUGAACAAGUUAUUUUUGCGUCAUUCUCAUAUUAUGGCGAUUCAUA